rnacentral:rRNA from 1 species
UACGUAGGGGGCGAGCGUUGUCCGGAUUUACUGGGCGUAAAGGACGCGCAGGCGGCCCGAGGGGUCUGUCGUUAAAGCCCGGGGCUCAACCCCGGGUGGUCGGCGGAGACCGGCGGGCUUGGAGGCCGGUAGAGGGAUGCGGAAUUCCCGGUGUAGUGGUGAAAUUCGUAGAUAUUCGCAAGAACACCAGUGGCGAAGGCGGCUCACUGGCCCGGUACUGACGCUGAGGUGCGAAAGCGUGGGGAGCAAACAGG